GUGAGGAAUAUUGGUCAAUGGGCGAGAGCCUGAACCAGCCAUCCCGCGUGAAGGAUGAAUGUCCUAUGGAUUGUAAACUUCUUUUCUGCACCAAGAAAAUGUCGUACGUGUACGAUUUUGACGGUAGUGCAGGAAUAAGCAUCGGCUAACUCCGUGCCAGCAGCCGCGGUAAUACGGAGGAUGCGAGCGUUAUCCGGAUUCAUUGGGUUUAAAGGGUGCGUAGGCGGCUUUUUAAGUCAGUGGUGAAAUCCUGCAGCUUAACUGUAGAAUUGCCAUUGAUACUGAAGAGCUUGAAUAUAGUUGAGGUAGGCGGAAUGUGCAGUGUAGCGGUGAAAUGCUUAGAUAUUGCACAGAACACCGAUUGCGAAGGCAGCUUACUAAAUUAUUAUUGACGCUGAGGCACGAAAGCGUGGGGAUCGAACAGGAUUAGAAACCCCUGUAGUCC
rnacentral:rRNA from 1 species